rnacentral:rRNA from 1 species
GGGAAAGGAUAGCGUAGAGUGUGAUCGUGUCUCAGGAGAUCUUAACAGGGUAACCGUAGAGUUUGGGUGAGUAACACGUGAGCAACCUGCCCCUGACUCUGGGAUAAGCGGUGGAAACGCCGUCUAAUACCGGAUACGACCUUCCACCUCAUGGUGGAGGGUGGAAAGUUUUUUCGGUCAGGGAUGGGCUCGCGGCCUAUCAGCUUGUUGGUGGGGUAACGGCCUACCAAGGCGAUUACGGGUAGCCGGCCUGAGAGGGCGACCGGCCACACUGGGACUGAGACACGGCCCAGACUCCUGCGGGAGGCAGCAGUGGGGAAUAUUGCGCAAUGGGCGAAAGCCUGACGCAGCGACGCCGCGUGGGGGAUGACGGCCUUCGGGUUGUAAACCUCUUUUACCACCAACGCAGGCUCCGGGUUCUCUCGGGGUUGACGGUAGGUGGGGAAUAAGGACCGGCUAACUACGUGCCAGCAGCCGCGGUAAUACGUAGGGUCCGAGCGUUGUCCGGAAUUAUUGGGCGUAAAGAGCUCGUAGGCGGCGUGUCGCGUCUGCUGUGAAAGACCGGGGCUUAACUCCGGUUCUGCAGUGGAUACGGGCAUGCUAGAGGUAGGUAGGGGAGACUGGAAUUCCUGGUGUAGCGGUGAAAUGCGCAGAUAUCAGGAGGAACACCGGUGGCGAAGGCGGGUCUCUGGGCCUUACCUGACGCUGAGGAGCGAAAGCAUGGGGAGCGAACAGGAUUAGAUACCCUGGUAGUCCAUGCCGUAAACGUUGGGCGCUAGGUGUGGGGACUUUCCACGGUUUCCGCGCCCUUAGCUAACGCAUUAAGUCCCCCCUCCUGGGGGAGUACUGUCCUCAGGGCUAAAAACUCCAAAGGAAAUUGAACGGGGGCCCGCCACAAAUCGGCCGGAAGCAUGGUUGCCUUAAUUCCUACGUCAGCGCCGAAAGAAUCCUUACCCAAGGGUUU